GACGAACGCUGGCGGCGUGCUUAACACAUGCAAGUCGAGCGGUAAGGCCCUUUCGGGGGUACACGAGCGGCGAACGGGUGAGUAACACGUGGGUGACCUGCCCUUAGCUCUGGGAUAAGCCUGGGAAACUGGGUCUAAUACCGGAUAUGACUCCAUGACGCAUGUUGUGGGGUGGAAAGCCUUGUGCGGCUAGGGAUGGGCCCGCGGCCUAUCAGCUUGUUGGUGGGGUGAUGGCCUACCAAGGCGACGACGGGUAGCCGGCCUGAGAGGGCGACCGGCCACACUGGGACUGAGACACGGCCCAGACUCCUACGGGAGGCAGCAGUGGGGAAUCUUGGACAAUGGAGGAAACUCUGAUCCAGCCAUGCCGCGUGAGUGAUGAAGGCC
rnacentral:rRNA from 1 species